UGCCGCGUGCAGGAUGACUGCCCUAUGGGUUGUAAACUGCUUUUAUAUAGGAAGAAAAACUUUCUCGUGAGAAAGCUUGACGGUACUAUAAGAAUAAGGAUCGGCUAACUCCGUGCCAGCAGCCGCGGUAAUACGGAGGAUCCAAGCGUUAUCCGGAAUCAUUGGGUUUAAAGGGUCCGUAGGUGGACAAAUAAGUCAGAGGUGAAAUCCUGCAGCUCAACUGUAGAACUGCCUUUGAUACUGUUUGUCUUGAGUUAUUAUGAAGUGGUUAGAAUGUGUAGUGUAGCGGUGAAAUGCAUAGAUAUUACACAGAAUACCGAUUGCGAAGGCAGAUCACUAAUAAUCAACUGACACUGAUGGACGAAAGCGUGGGUAGCGAACAGGAUUAGAUACCCUGGUAGUCCACGCCGUAAACGGUGGUCACUAGCUGUUUGGACUUCGGUCUGAGUGGCUAAGCGAAAGUGAUAAGUGACCCACCUGGGGAGUACGUUCGCAAGAAUGAAACUCAAAGGAAUUGACGGGGGCCCGCACAAGCGGUGGAGCAUGUGGUUUAAUUCGAUGAUACGCGAGGAACCUUACCAGGGCUUAAAUGUUAGGUGACAGAUCUAGAAAUAGAUUUUUCUUCGGACACUUAACAAGGUGCUGCAUGGUUGUCGUCAGCUCGUGCCGUGAGGUGUCAGGUUAAGUCCUAUAACGAGCGCAACCCCUGUUGUUAGUUGCCAGCGAGUAAUGUCGGGAACUCUAGCAAGACUGCCAGUGCAAACUGUGAGGAAGGUGGGGAUGACAUCAAAUCAUCACGGCCCUUACGUCCUGGGCUACACACGUGCUACAAUGGUAGGUACAGAGAGCAGCCAAUGCGCGAGCAUGAGCAAAUCUAUAAAACCUAUCUCAGUUCGGAUCGGAGUCUGCAACUCGACUCCGUGAAGCUGGAAUCGCUAGUAGUCGGAUAUCAGCCAUGAUCCGGUGAAUACGUUCCCGGGCCUUGUACACACCGCCCGUCAAGCCAUGGAAGUUGGGAGUGCCUGAAGUCCGUUUCCGCAAGGAUCGGCCUAGGGUAAAAUCGAUAACUAGGGCUAAGUCGUAACAAGGUAGCCGUACCGGAAGGUGCGGCUGGAACACCUCCUUUCU
rnacentral:rRNA from 1 species